rnacentral:lncRNA from 1 species
CGCCACCACCGCGAGAAAGCAGGCAUCGCCUUCACAGCCGACAAAAGCUACGGCCUAUGGCGGAUACGGUCGCCCCUCCACUGCCUCCCUUGCCGCGCUGUCUUCUUCAUCUCAUCGCUUCCCAUAGAUAUAAGAGUGAGCGCCUCUCAACUUGAGUGGAUUAUCUUGUUUCUAUGUUUUUGUUUAUCACAUAGACGAAGUUAAUGCUUAAUCCCCAGAGAUGCAUAUAACCAAGUGGCACUUACUUGGAUCUGAGAACCUCUAGUGCUUGUUUAUCUCAAGUAAGCCUUUUGAGUCUUAAUGUUUCAUUGAAGAACAUCAAUGCUUAAUUGCAAGUCAAUGUUGUAAUUCUUGAGAAGUCAUGGAAGCUUAUAAGAAGAAAGGAUGGGCUCUAACAAAUCAUUUACCUAAUUUACCAGGAUGGGAGAGUGUCGAAUGCUUUUUCAGAUACUAUUUCUUGGUCCGUCAAAUCUAUUUGAGCUAAAUGCAAGUUUUUGCUCAAAUGUGGCAAAAAAUGAUUGUCUCACCAAUUGUGAGCACGACUGCCUCCAACAAAGUUAGAAUGAAAAGAUGGAAUAGAACUUUGGUGGCCGCACAUGUGUGGAGACUAGAAUUCAUAUAUACUUAGUUAGGCUCAACGUUAACGCAAACAGUUGAUAACCAAAAUUUUCAAUUAGUACUUUAGUUUGAAUUUAGAUUACACUUUUGUAUGAGUUAUUUGACAAUGCUUAUUUAUUAGAUAUUGAAUGAUACUUAUCUAUAUUAUAUUAAUUAUAAUGUUAUU